GACGAACGCUGGCGGCGUGCCUAAUACAUGCAAGUCGAACGCUUCUUACUUAUCGAACUUCGGUUCACCAAGUAAGAGGAGUGGCGAACGGGUGAGUAACACGUGGGUAACCUGCCCAUCAGAGGGGGAUAACACUUGGAAACAGGUGCUAAUACCGCAUAAUUCAGUUUACCGCAUGGUAGAGUGAUGAAAGGCGCUUUUGCGUCACUGAUGGAUGGACCCGCGGUGCAUUAGCUAGUUGGUAGGGUAAUGGCCUACCAAGGCAACGAUGCAUAGACGACCUGAGAGGGUGAUCGGCCACACUGGGACUGGGACAAGGCCCAGAGUCCUACGGGGGGCAGCAGUAGGGAAUCGUCGGCAAUGGACGAAAGUCUGACCGAGCAACGCCGGGGGAGUGAAGAAGGUUUUCGGAUCGUAAAACUCUGUUGUUAGAGAAGAACAAGGAUGAGAGUAAAAUGUUCAUCCCUUGACGGUAUCUAACCAGAAAGCCACGGCUAACUACGUGCCAGCCGCCGCCGUAA
rnacentral:rRNA from 1 species